UAUGAUUGAUAAGCCAGUACCACAGGUCCAUAUUCAUGCCACCAUACAAUUUGUUUUGCCUAUGCUCAUCACUAUGAUUAGGCCAUUAUGCACAUUGAUUUGUGUAUGCUGCCCACUGAGUAACUACAAUCGACUUGCCUUUGUUGAUUCAGUGCUUUACCUAGCCUCUAGUACUUCUGGACACAAUUAAACCCAUUGUCUAUAAUUCACACAACUGACCAGCAAUGUCUCCAACCCUAAGUUCUGCCACAAGGAAAACAUUGACAACAAAACUCUUUAAAUGUGUUUGUGCCCCUCUCACCAUUUUGUACGUCUUAGGAUUCAUAAAGGGCAUGUCUCCUGGGCAUUUCAAUUAUGGAGGCUUACAUUUUACUUAGAAUACCAACUCUAAUUUUACAAAUUUCAGGACCCUUGAAACUCCUUCAUCAACACUAAGUCAGGGAAUAUCAAGCACCCUCUAACUCCUCUUUGUAAUCUUUUGAUAAGUCAUUCGGCCAAUCAUUAAAACAAACUUCUGACAUUUUUUAAACUGUGUAGGCUUCCGUAUUAAACUUGAAGUCUCCACUCAAUGGGCCUAUAUCAAUAAUCUCAUCAUAAUCCAGUUCCAUGUUCCUUUCACCAUUAUCCCACAGCCUUAAAGUUUGUUCCCACACAUAUUCCCUAGGCUUCUAAUUUAUUAUGCUUGAAAAAACUAGCAAACUGAGUAAGAUCUUUAGCAUAUUGGAUCUCCUCUUAGACUACUCUUUCUACCUCCCCUCUAGGAGUCUACUAUGGUUUAGGUCUGCUUGUACAUCUAGGAGAAACUAUCCGUUAUCCCUGAGGGAUAUUGUGGAUAUUACCUCCCAUUUCCUUCAGAGACAGUCACUACUAGAUUCCUCAAAAAA
rnacentral:lncRNA from 1 species